UACUAGAGUAGCACUCGCAUAUCAAUAAGCGGAGGAAAAGAAACUAACAAGGAUUCCCCUAGUAACGGCGAGUGAAGCGGGAAGAGCUCAAAUUUGAAAUCUUAAAGGGUUUCCCUUUACGAAUUGUAGUUUAAAGAAGUGUUUUCUGUUGAGGUUUUGGUAAAAGUUCUUUGGAAUAGGACAUCAUAGAGGGUGAGAAUCCCGUAUUUGACCUUUACUUUCAACUUUGUGAUACACUUUCAAAGAGUCGGAUUGUUUGGGAAUGCAGUCCAAAAUGGGUGGUAAAUUUCAUCUAAAGCUAAAUAUUGGCGAGAGACCGAUAGCGAACAAGUACCGUGAGGGAAAGAUGAAAAGAACUUUGAAAAGAGAGUUAAACAGUACGUGAAAUUGUCAAAAGGGAAGCGUUUGACACCAGUGUUGUUUUUCUGAAAAUCAAUUAAAGAACUGUUUAUGCUAAGCUGUUUAGACUUUAUCAGCUAUCUGUUUAGUUUUGAGCUUUUCUUUAAUGCACUUUUCAGUUAACAAGUCAACAUCAAUUUCUUUUGCUGUAAAAAAGCUUGAGGAAAGGUGGCUUGAGAUUCGUCUUAAGUGUUUAUAGCCUCUUGCCUAUGCAGUCGGAGAGAUUGAGGUCUGCAGCGUAGAUCCUUCGGGGCUAAAUGCAUUUGUGCUAAGUUAUAGCAUUUUAUAGACAACUUGUUGACUAUGAUUUGUCUUGUAGCUUACUCGCUUAUGUUAUUUUACCUACGCUUAGGAUGUUGAGUCAUCACACAUCUCU
rnacentral:rRNA from 1 species